rnacentral:rRNA from 1 species
AUUGAACGCUGGCGGCAGGCCUAACACAUGCAAGUCGAACGAGUGGCGGACGGGUGAGUAAUGUCUGGGAAACUGCCUGAUGGAGGGGGAUAACUACUGGAAACGGUAGCUAAUACCGCAUACCAUCGGAUGUGCCCAGAUGGGAUUAGCUAGUAGGUGGGGUAAAGGCUCACCUAGGCGACGAUCCCUAGCUGGUCUGAGAGGAUGACGAGCAACACUGGAAAUGAGACAAGGUCCAGAAUGCUACGGGAGGCAGCAGUGGGGAAUAUUGCACAAGGGGCGCAAGCCUGAUGUAGCCAAGCCGCGAGUAUGAAGAAGGCCUUCGGGGUGUAAAGUACUUUCAGCGGGGAGGCGUUACCUGCAGAAGAAGCACCGGCUAACUCCGUGCCAGCAGCCGCGGUAAUUC